rnacentral:misc_RNA from 1 species
GAUGAAGAACGUAGCGAAAUGCGAUAAGUAAUGUGAAUUGCAGAAUUCAGUGAAUCAUCGAAUCUUUGAACGCACAUUGCGCCCGCCAGUAUUCUGGCGGGCAUGCCUGUCUGAGCAUCAUUUCAACCCUCACGCCCCUAGGGCGUGGUGUUGGGGAUCGGCCAAAGCCCGCGAGGGACGGCCGGCCCCUAAAUCUAGUGGCGGACCCGUCGUGGCCUCCUCUGCGAAGUAGUGAUAUUCCGCAUCGGAGAGCGAUGAGCCCCUGCCGUUAAACCCCCAACUUUCCAAGGUUGACCUCAGAUCAGGUAGGAAUACCCGCUGAACUUAAGCAUAUCAAUAAGCGGAGGA